AUACGUAGGGUGCGAGCGUUGUCCGGAAUUACUGGGCGUAAAGAGCUCGUAGGUGGUUUGUCGCGUCGUCUGUGAAAUUCCGGGGCUUAACCCCGGGCGUGCAGGCGAUACGGGCAUAACUUGAGUACUGUAGGGGAGACUGGAAUUCCUGGUGUAGCGGUGAAAUGCGCAGAUAUCAGGAGGAACACCGGUGGCGAAGGCGGGUCGCUGGGCGGUAACUGACGCUGAGGAGCGAAAGCAUGGGUAGCGAACAGGAUUAGAUACCCUGGUAGUCCAUGCCGUAAACGGUGGGCGCUAGGUGUAGGGGUCUUCCACGACUUCUGUGCCGUAGCUAACGCAUUAAGCGCCCCGCCUGGGGAGUACGGCCGCAAGGCUAAAACUCAAAGGAAUUGACGGGG
rnacentral:rRNA from 1 species